rnacentral:lncRNA from 1 species
GUAAACUUUAUUUUCCAAUAAAUAGAAUUUGAACAUGAUUAUGAUAGUAUAUAUACAGUGUAUGAUACAUCAAAUUGCCCUCAAUGUUUAAAGGUUAACAAAAAACAAGCACUACUAAUAUAAACUACAUCAACAUUUUAGCCAAAAUCAAUGAAGUAAAUAUUAUGAAAAAAAACCCAAUAUUUUUCUUCUUAAAUUUUAAAAGUCACUAAAAAAAUUUGAUUUAGAAUAAAUAUAAUUUAGCCCAAUCCCAGGGAGAUGUUUGAGUACAUGAAAAUCUUAUAAUUAGUUUACUGUGACUGAACGAACAUAGGUAUAACAGAUUUUGGAAAGAUUAUCCUUUAAAGUUGCUAAAUGCUUUCUUUUAAUACCAUAGGGACAAGAUAUUCAUGUAUUAGGUGCACAAAAUUGUCAAGACACAUGUAAAGGGGGAAAAUUAGAGUUUCCUAUAUAUGUGAACUAAUAAUCAGUCUGUUAAAUGAAUUAAUAUAUUGGUGUAGCAAUUAACCACACACACUGCUCCAACUAGUCAGUCCAAAUUUGAGAGGUUUUGAUUCAGUAACUUUCACAUUAACAAGUAUACUUUUUGCUUUAAACAGAUAUUAAUUAAGUCAUUUGUAUUUUAAUACCUUUAUACCAUUAUUUAAACAUAGAAAGACAAAAAACUAAAAUUGAAAGACAUUUCAUGAAGUAUUAAACCAGAAACAAACCUGGACAAAUCAAAACUUUAAUUUUUAUGCCAAACUAAAUCAGAUGACAUGACCCAUUUAUAUUGAAAAAAAAUCAUGAAUUAACUAGGGACAAACAUGGACAAAUCAGAAGUUUAAUUUUUACACCAAACUUAAUCAGAUGAACUCCUUUAUAAUUUCUUGGACUGUAUUUGAAGCAGAAUCAUGGUUUAUUACUUAAAAUUAAUCAUCCUAUUCUUACAAAUGAACAACAUGCAGUUGUACAACAGACAUAAACCAUGUACUAAAAUGACAAAA